rnacentral:miRNA from 1 species
AGGCAGUGUAGAUAGAUGGUUUGA